rnacentral:pre_miRNA from 1 species
UGGACAGAUUAUUGUACUCGACUGUAUUCACGGCGUAAAACAAGGGAUUACAACUGUUUUUAAACGGAAAGUGAAUUAAUUAACAUAAUAGACUCCU